rnacentral:rRNA from 1 species
UCGAGAAUUUUUGACAAUGGGGGAAACCCUGAUCGAGCGACGCCGCGUGGAGGAUGAAGGUCUUCGGGUUGUAAACUCCUGUCAUUUGGGAACAAGGCGUAUUUAUUAACUGUAAGUACGUUGAUAGUACCAGAAGAGGAAGAGACGGCUAACUCUGUGCCAGCAGCCGCGGUAAUACAGAGGUCUCAAGCGUUGUUCGGAUUCAUUGGGCGUAAAGGGUGUGUAGGUGGCGCGCUAAGUCGGGUGUGAAAUUUCGGAGCUUAACUCCGAAACUGCAUUCGAUACUGGCGUGCUUGAGGACUGGAGAGGAGACUGGAAUUUACGGUGUAGCAGUGAAAUGCGUAGAUAUCGUAAGGAAGACCAGUGGCGAAGGCGGGUCUCUGGACAGUUCCUGACACUGAGACACGAAGGCCAGGGGAGCAAACGG